rnacentral:rRNA from 1 species
UCGGGAAUUUUGGGCAAUGGGCGAAAGCCUGACCCAGCAACGCCGCGUGAAGGAUGAAGUAUUUCGGUAUGUAAACUUCGUAAGAAUAGGAAGAAUAAAUGACGGUACUAUUUGUAAGGUCCGGCUAACUACGUGCCAGCAGCCGCGGUAAUACGUAGGGACCAAGCGUUGUUCGGAUUUACUGGGCGUAAAGGGCGCGUAGGCGGUGUGUCAAGUCAGUUGUGAAAUCUCCGAGCUUAACUCGGAACGGUCAACUGAUACUGUCACACUAGAGUACAGAAGGGGCAAUCGGAAUUCUUGGUGUAGCGGUGAAAUGCGUAGAUAUCAAGAGGAACACCUGAGGUGAAGACGGGUUGCUGGGCUGAUACUGACGCUGAGGCGCGAAAGCUAGGGUAGCAAACGGGAUUAGAUACCCAUGUAGUCCCUGAGCGGGCUGGCAAGGCGCAU